ACACACACAAUUGCAAGUCUUUUUCUUUUAGCUUAGAGAGAGACACGGGAGAGAGAGAAACAGGCGAGAGAAAACUAAACGGAGUCGGAGCGUCUCCGGCGAUUGGCCGAGCUCCGGCGCGUGGUAGGCCUCAAUCAACUGAACCAAGAGUAAGGAAUCUCAUGGUGGUGACGGAACGGUGGUCGUGAUGUUUGCAGACGUUUGUGGUGUUUACCGGGUUGUUGGAGCAUUUUAGAACUGAUGAAGAGAUUGCCACCAUUAUUGGUCAUGAGGAUGAUAAGAAAGCGACACAUUAUGGCGAUGUUCUUCACCUAUUUAUACACAUAUGGUCUGUAUUUUUUUCCUAUUUUUUCAUUUGUUAUAUAUAAUAUAGGUGGUGUAUUCGAAAUGUAAUCAAUUUUGAAGUUUGUUUAUGUGUAUAAACGUUGUACUGCCAAAUAACACUUUAUGAACAUUUUGAA